GACGAACCGUGCUAACGUUGUUCGGAAUCACUGGGCUUAAAGGGCGCGUAGGCGGUUUAUCAAGUCAGGGGUGAAAUCUUUCGGCUCAACCGGAAAAGUGCCUUUGAUACUGAUAGACUCGAGCGAGGUAGGGGCGGAUGGAACUUCCGGUGGAGCGGUGAAAUGUGUUGAUAUCGGAAGGAACGCCGGUGGCGAAAGCGAUCCGCUGGACCUCUUCUGACGCUGAGGCGCGAAAGCCAGGGGAGCAAAC
rnacentral:rRNA from 1 species